CAACCAUGUCUUUCCAAAACAUAUUUCCAGUUCAGACAACAGAAUGAGUUUUGGCUUUAGGUACAAAAUGAUAUUUCUUCUGUUUCUUGUAGUCAAAUUUCUGAAAAACAUGCCUUAUUUUAGAUGGAUUAAAAUGAAACAGGAAACAGUUGAUGGUUCCAUUCAAAUAUUAAUGUCCUCUGCAUUUCUGCUUAAUUUCAAAAUAUCAUUUUAAGAUAUUUUUGUUUCUCUUUGUCCAGCUACUAUUAUUAUGUCUCAUAUCCUCUAACAUGUAUUUUUUUCCCUCUUUCAGGAAAUAUUGGAAAUUCUUUUAUGAUUGAUCCCAUCUUGGGCUCUAUAAAAACUGCCAAAGAAUUAGAUCGAAGUAACCAAGUGGAAUAUGAUUUAAUGGUGAAAGCUACAGAUAAAGGCAGUCCACCAAUGAGUGAAAUGACUUCUGUGCAUAUCUUUGUCACGAUUGCUGACAAUGCUGCUCCUAAGUUUACAUCAAAAGAAUACUCUGUUGAAAUUAGUGAAAUUACCAGCAUUGGGAGUUUUGUUGGACUAGGAUCCAAUCCAAGGUGGGAAUGUCAAUAGAAGGUCAAAGU
rnacentral:lncRNA from 1 species